GCAUUGCACGACGAGACAUGGUGGAAUUCUAGCGUCGUUCUCGGCUUUACUACUACACCACGUCAAAACCCCGGAAAUUAAGCCGGGGAAGGGUGUCCUCAGGACAAAAGGGGGGAUCGAUCGGGCUAAAAGAAAACUUGUCCGAAAGGGAGGGGUCCCUUGGGCUCGGGAGGGAUAGGUAGUGUAGUCACAGGCAGGAGGAGCACGAGCAGGUCCCAGUGCAGUGCGGUUGCUAUAGGAGGCGAUGAUGAUUCAGCACCAUGUGCCCGGUGUCAGCGGCUGUCCUUGCACAGUCAGACGCCAAUCAUCAAACCCAAAGUUAAAUGCAACGUUGGGUUGGUUGGUUCGACACUGGAUGGAUGGAUGCCGGGGUGUCAACAGCAACACACAGACGAGAGGUGGUUGUAUUCACUGGUUGACCGUUAGCCAGUGAGAAUCUAUCUCCAUGGGAGUAGCAGCAUGUUCAUCUCCCGUGAAGCCGGAUUUUGAGCGGAAAAUAGAGAGAUUGGAGGCUGUUGUUGUUGGAGUAGGAGGAGUAGAUGUUUUGGGGUUCCAGAGAGAUUGAAUCAAUCAGCCGGUACGCAAGUACGUACGGGCACCGGGCACCGGCAGUUGCCUGCUGCCAACUUGGCUAGGGCCACUGUCUGCAAAUACCAGACAUUAAAAGGUGCACAUCGACCUCACCGGGCUCGCUGGGACUGUAUCAAUGGGGUGUGGGGGCUGGCUGAUUUUGCGUGGAUGCACUCAUUAAUCGGCGGCCCGGGAUUCCGACCGGAGAUUAGCCACGGCUGUUUGGUUGCUAGCCUAGUCUAGCGUAAUCGAAGCCCUUGCUCUUGAUUCCCGCCUUCGAUUUGAUGGUGUCUCUCCGGAGGUACGUGACGGGUAACCAUGUCCGUAACAGUGUCCUUGGUAACCCCCCUGUUGCGGCGACAGAGAUGCUACUAGUACUAAUUGUAAGUGCUCCAUAAACUUGCUCAAGGAUCCUUCCCUUCUCCAUCGCCAUCGGCACAAGUUAUUCCUCGGCCGGUCUGGUCACAACCCCUUGUUUUUCUUUCUCUUUUGAGAGGGAAGAACUUAAGACCUGUCAGAGUCUUGUGCACGCACUCGACCGCGAGAAAUGAGAAGCAAAACACAAUCAGGCAAGCAGAGGGAGAGGGGAGAUAUUUUACGUUGCACCCUAUACGGUUUUGAGGUGAUGGGAGACUGCUAGUACUAUGCUCUAUGGCUAUGCGCCUAUGCUAUUGCUACCCCUUGCAUGUGCAGCUCUGAGGCCGCGCUACGGUCCAAGUUAAGUAGGGCAAUGGCGACAGAGGUAGGCUGGCUAUGCUAAUUGCUAGGCACACACCACAGGCGAGAGAGGCAAUCGAAUUGGGAAUCGACAAUGUCCAGUGCAGUGAAGUGUCCUGAUUGACAGUACCACGGCCCGGCCGGUCGGCACCCAGCGGCUUGUGUACACGAACCCGUGAAGGCCUGAAGCGGGAACAGUGGAUGGAUCGAACCGGACAUGGUGCGCUGCCCGCCUGCCCCCGUUGCCAUGGGAUUAAUGGAUCCUUGUUAGUUUCAAUCCAAACCAAACAUCUCUGGUCAAGGUUUCAUCUGCACUCUGGAGUCUGGACUCGAGCGAGGAGGCCCAACAGAUCCAUACGUUGUUAGCAGUGGAUGGGUCGGGUAGGGUCGGGACGGGCCAGAGACUCUCAGGGUCACUGGGCAAAACAGCAGUAGAUGGGGGCAAAAUAAUGCCGCUAACCCUCUUCUGCUAACCCUAAGCCAGGCCCGGCACCCCCCAUGUGGGCGUACGAAUUGGACUCUUGCUCGCCGGAGGACACAGCCGAAAUUUCAGGGAAGUGACCACUGCUGCACUGUGGACUGUGGAGUGGAGAUCGAUCAUCUCCACAUGCCUCCUUGUAAGCAGUGAAAACAAUUUGAGGGAACCGUAAAUCAGACCAUCUUAAGGAAGCUGUUGAUGACCAUGCUGAUGAGUGAUGACAGACAAGUCAAAUUGUAGACAAGAAAUUGAGCUGAUGUUUGGGAUAAGGUGUUUUCUUUUUCUACUUCCAUGAGAAUACACUAACAAAUAUUUUUUAUUACUGCCAAAAUCUAAUCGACUUGACAGGUUUGUUUGUCACCAGAAAGCGAAAGGGCGGGCAGCAAGUAAGCGCGGUUAAAAGCUUCAGAAGGGGUAGUCGGUAAAUAAAAAUAAGUUCAGUCAAAGAGGGAGUAAUGUAAAGGCACUCAUUCUUGAUCUGUUUAGAAACAAACUUCUGGCAACUUCAGCAACUCAACCAAGCAGCAUGAGAAUAAAGCAAGAGAUAUGAUGGCCUUAAGAUCAAUCGGUAUCUUUCUAUUUUUCUGUGUCCUGUCUUUGCUUUCUCCCAGGGCAGUGUAAUCUUAUUUAAGGGAUCAUGAUUCAAGAAAAGGAAGGGGUAUCAAAAAUAUAUCUAUCUCCAAUGAGUGGGUCUGCCAUUCUUGGAAUUAAACAAUUAUACAAGGCAGAAAGCUUGUUUUAUCACCAUCAACUGAUCAAGCUCAAAGAUUUAUAUAUAUAUAUAUGAAAAGUGGAGCUGUGUGGAUUAUGGAGUGCUAGUGUGCUAAUAGCUUCUCAGAUAUUUUUCCUCUAGAUUAGUUGACUCAGUCUUCAAAGAAAUAGUUCAGGCUUCAGGACUUUAACUCACCGGCAUGCAGCUUCAGAACUUCUGUUUCAUUCUUGGAUUCUAUGUCUCCAGCUCACUAUCCAAGGCCCUGACAAAAGGACUACCUGGGCCAGGUCAAGCAGGCCCAUGAUAGUUGCAAAGAUUUGACCUGAAAAUAGCAAGGCACAAACAAUUGUGUUAACAAUAGAUAUCCUGUUGGCAAACAGCAGCCUAUGGGCCUGGCAGAUACCCAAAGUAAAGCUUACCUAUCAUUAGAUUGUGCUUGUCUGCUUGGUCAUCAUCUGCAUAGGUUAUAACAAGGGAGAAUAACAAGAUGCAGCUACCUACAUUUAUGUACCCUUCUGCUUGCUUCAUAAUCAAGUUUUCAAGGAAGUUAAGACGUUCCAGCUCAAGAAAAAAAGGAACUUAAGAAGUUCUCCCUCAAAAGAAAAGGUAGUCUAGUACUGUGUUGCAUUGUAGGCAUGAAUUGAUGAAAGAUGUAAGAAAAACAGUUUCAAGAUAGGCAGCAUGCCCCAGAUAUCAUAUUCUGUCCCUAUUCUGGAUACUGUGGUAUGCAUAAUUUGCUGAAUAUUGCUUUA